UGCUGUGAUAAAAUAGCCUACAAAAGAC
rnacentral:piRNA from 1 species